ACAGUGGAUGCGAGCAUCUUUGUAGCAAGAUAUUAAGGGCAUACGGUGGAUGUCUAGGCAUCAGGAGCCGAUGAAGGACGUAGGAGGCUGCGAUAAGCCUCGGGGAGCUGUCAACCGAGCUGAGAUCCGAGGAUGUCCGAAUGGGGAAACCCGGCAUCAGUCAUGUGGUGUCACCCGCACCUGAAUCUAUAGGGUGUGUGGAGGGAACGCGGGGAAGUGAAACAUCUCAGUACCCGUAGGAAGAGAAAACAACCGUGAUUCCGUGAGUAGUGGCGAGCGAAAGCGGAUGAGGCUAAACCGGAUACGUGUGAUACCCGGCAGGGGUUGCGUGUUCGGGGUCGUGGGACCUUUCGAGUAGUUCUGCCGGACUACUAAGGAGUGAGAAAACACUGUGGUUAGUGGAACGUUGCUGGAAAGCGCGACCGUAGAGGGUGAGAGUCCCGUACGUGAAAACCCGGUGUCUCCUGAGAGUGUUCCCAAGUAGCAGCGAGCUCGUGAAAUUUGCUGUGAAUCUGGCGGGACCACCCGCUAAGCCUAAAUACUUCCUGAUGACCGAUAGCGGACUAGUACCGUGAGGGAAAGAUGAAAAGUACCCCGGGAGGGGAGUGAAAGAGUACCUGAAACCGUGUGCCUACAAGCCGUCAGAGCCUUUCGGGGUGAUGGCGUGCCUUUUGAAGAAUGAGCCUGCGAGUUAGUGCUGCGUGGCGAGGUUAACCCGUGUGGGGUAGCCGUAGCGAAAGCGAGUCUGAAUAGGGCGCUUGAGUCGCGUGGUCUAGACCCGAAGCGGAGUGAUCUACCCAUGGCCAGGGUGAAGCGACGGUAAGACGUCGUGGAGGCCCGAACCCACUUAGGUUGAAAACUGAGGGGAUGAGCUGUGGGUAGGGGUGAAAGGCCAAUCAAACUCCGUGAUAGCUGGUUCUCCCCGAAAUGCAUUUAGGUGCAGCGUCGCAUGUUUCACACCGGGGGUAGAGCACUGGAUGGUCUAGGGGGCCUACAAGCUUACCGAAAUCAACCAAACUCCGAAUACCGGUGUGUGAGAGUGCGGCAGUGAGACUGCGGGCGAUAAGGUUCGUAGUCGAGAGGGAAACAGCCCAGAACACCAGCUAAGGCCCCUAAGUGUGUGCUAAGUGGGAAAGGAUGUGGGGUCGCCCAGACAACCAGGAGGUUGGCUUAGAAGCAGCCACCCUUGAAAGAGUGCGUAAUAGCUCACUGGUCAAGUGGUCCUGCGCCGACAAUGUAGCGGGGCUUAAGCACACCGCCGAAGCUGUGUCAUUCACACAAUACAUCCACUUGUUCCUUCGGGGGCAGGUGCAGUGGUGUGGAUGGGUAGGGGAGCGUCGUGCAGCCAUGGAAGCGCCGGAGUGAUCCAGGUGUGGAGGCUGUGCGAGUGAGAAUGCAGGCAUGAGUAGCGAAAGAAGAGUGAGAAACUCUUCCGCCGGAUGACCAAGGGUUCCUGGGCCAGGCUAAUCCGCCCAGGGUAAGUCGGGACCUAAGGCGAGGCCGACAGGCGUAGUCGAUGGACAACGGGUUGAUAUUCCCGUACCCGUGUGGACGCGUCCCUGGUGAGCUCGGUGAUACUAACCGCCCAAAGCGAUGUUGGUCUUCGGACCGGCAAAGUGGAGCGCGGGACCUGAUCCGGUAGUAGCCAAACGAUGGGGUGACGCAGGAGGGUAGCUCCGCCAGCAGUUGGUGUCUGGUGUAAGCGUGUAGGCCGGUUGAUAGNGAUGGGGUGACGCAGGAGGGUAGCUCCGCCAGCAGUUGGUGUCUGGUGUAAGCGUGUAGGCCGGUUGAUAGGCAAAUCCGUCAACCAUCAAGGCUGAGACGUGAUGCAUAGCCGAAUGAGGCGAAGUAGAGUGAUCCCAUGCUGCCGAGAAAAGCCUCUAGUGAGUUUCCACGCGGCCCGUACCCCAAACCGACACAGGUGGUCAGGUAGAGAAUACCAAGGCGAUCGGGUGAACUAUGGUUAAGGAACUCGGCAAAAUGCCCCCGUAACUUCGGGAGAAGGGGGGCCACAGCGCUUGAAGCCUCUUGCAGGCUAGGGCGAGGUGGCCGCAGAGACCAGCGAGAAGCGACUGUUUACUAAAAACACAGGUCCGUGCGAAGUCGCAAGACGAUGUAUACGGACUGACGCCUGCCCGGUGCUGGAACGUUAAGAGGACCGGUUAGCUCUUCGGGGCGAAGCUGAGAAUUUAAGCGCCAGUAAACGGCGGUGGUAACUAUAACCAUCCUAAGGUAGCGAAAUUCCUUGUCGGGUAAGUUCCGACCUGCACGAAUGGCGUAACGACUUCUCGACUGUCUCAACCAUAGGCCCGGCGAAAUUGCACUACGAGUAAAGAUGCUCGUUACGCGCGGCAGGACGGAAAGACCCCGGGACCUUUACUAUAGCUUGGUAUUGGUGCUUGGUUCGGUUUGUGUAGGAUAGGUGGGAGACUGUGAAGCUCACACGCCAGUGUGGGUGGAGUCAAUCUUGAAAUACCACUCUGAUCGUACUGAGUGUCUAACUUCGGACCGUGAUCCGGUUCAGGGACAGUGCCUGGUGGGUAGUUUAACUGGGGCGGUUGCCUCCCAAAGGGUAACGGAGGCGCCCAAAGGUUCCCUCAGCCUGGUUGGCAAUCAGGUGUCGAGUGCAAGUGCACAAGGGAGCUUGACUGUGAGACUGACAGGUCGAGCAGGGACGAAAGUCGGGACUAGUGAUCCGGCGCUGGCUGGUGGAAGCGGCGUCGCUCAACGGAUAAAAGGUACCCCGGGGAUAACAGGCUGAUCUUGCCCAAGAGUCCAUAUCGACGGCAUGGUUUGGCACCUCGAUGUCGGCUCGUCGCAUCCUGGGGCUGGAGUAGGUCCCAAGGGUUGGGCUGUUCGCCCAUUAAAGCGGUACGCGAGCUGGGUUUAGAACGUCGUGAGACAGUUCGGUCCCUAUCCGCCGCGCGCGCAGGAGACUUGAGGAAGGCUGUCCCUAGUACGAGAGGACCGGGACGGACGAACCUCUGGUGUGCCAGUUGUCCCGCCAGGGGCAUGGCUGGUUGGCUACGUUCGGAAGGGAUAACCGCUGAAGGCAUCUAAGCGGGAAGCUCGUUCCAAGAUGAGGUCUCCCACCCCCUUUGAGGGGUUAAGGCCCCCAGCAGACCACUGGGUUGAUAGGCCGGAAAUGGAAGCCCAGUAAUGGGUGGAGUUGACCGGUACUAAUAGGCCGAGGGCUUGCUACAA
rnacentral:rRNA from 1 species